GAUGACACUGGCAUAUUAGACCCGAUUCUUCCGAAUUGCAGGGGGCAUGGAUUUCGGCUUCAGAGUUAGUAUUUUCGUUUAAGAAAGGGAGGGAGGGAAUUCACCCAAAUCAAAUCAACUUAAAAAAAUAAAAAGGGGGAGAAAAAAAGGGGGGGGAGAAAAACAAAAACAAAAAACAAACAAACAAAAAAACCACCAAACCAACCAAACAAAAACCACCACCAACAGAAGUGGUGCGAGGAGGGGGAAGGCGAUCUCUGAGCCGCAAGCCCAGCAGGCAGAGCUGAUCGGGAGAAGGCAGUCCUGCUCUGCCCCUGCACUAUCUAGAGCUUCGAAACCGAGACUGAGAGACCUACACGAGCCACGGUCCUCUGCCUGCAGCCGGGAUCGGAUCUUCUCCUCGCCGGGGAGCAAAGAGCACCGGCUUCCCCUCACCGAGGGAUUUCUUCUCCUCGAGCCUUCCCCGUCCAAAACCAAUAAUAAGAAAAUAUCAAAAGCAGAGCGGCCGCGCGAGAAAUCAUAGGGCUAGGCGGGCUGGACCGUUUUCGGACGCUAUUUUUGUCUCUUAAAAAAAAAAAAAAAAAAAAAAAAAAAAAAAAAGGAAAAAAAAAAAAAAAAGUAGAGAGAGAGAAAGAAAAGCCCGCGCUGCUCGUUUAUAAGACAAGCUCUGGUCCCGGUGCGGGGGAGCCGGGAGGGCAGCCCCCGGCUAAACGCGAGCCGCAGCGGCCGGAGAAGGAGCCGCUGGCCGCAGCUCUGGCAGAUCGCAGGCUCGCAUUUCCCUCCCGGCCAGGGCAGCUCUCGGCGGCGGGAGGGCCCCUGCCCCUGCCCCUUCCCGGCCCCGGGGGGCGGCUUCAGCGGCGGGGGGCGGCGGGCUGCCCGCGGGGCUGGGGGCGCGGGGGGCGCCCGGCUCCGAGCGCGGCUCUCAUGCGGAGCCGCCCGGGGGGCUCCGUGCUCCUCGGGACCUGCGCCCGCUGCGGCGUCGCCUCUGUCUUCCCAAACAAGUCCGAGCGCUGGCAAAGGCUGCCGGUGGAUUUCUUUGCUUAGUUGUCUCGGUUUUUCUCCUCUUUCAAGAAUUUGCAAAAUCGGGGUUUGGUUUUCUUUCUGGUUUUGUUUUCUUUCUUUUUUUUCUUCUUCUUUUUUUUUUUUUUUUCUUUUUAAAAAUUGUCACGUUAUUUAAAGAGCUGGUGCAAAGCGCUGGCUCUUUCGCACACGCAUGCCUUUCCGAGGAAGAAGGAGGGUUCGCUACGGUCACCUCCCGUGAGGAGCAGCGAUCCUCACCAUGCGGCCAGGCUCCAAGGGGCAGAAGGAGCUCUGAAGUGGACCCCUCGGUUUAAUUCUUUCGCAAAGGCUUGAAGAAAGCCAGGAGAGCCUCAAGAGGGGAGGGGAUAAUGUAUCCGUGACGUGUCCUCCCUCGCAGCGCCCUCCGAGGAACCCAAAUACAGAGGAGCCAGAAAAGAGCCGCAAUUAGCACUUGCGAGGGGACGGGAGGCCGGCCCGGGGGGAGCCGGGGGCGGGGGGCGUUUGCUCGCCCCCACCUCCCCGAGCGGCCCCCUGGCCCCAGACCCUACCGCCGGGGGGGGCCCUCGCCGCCCUCCCCACGCGGGAGCGGGGCCGCGCACGGGCACGCGUGGGGACCGCGACACUCGCGGAGCCUCGUUUACCCAGGCAGUGCUGUUUAUCCACCGGGUGAAAGGAGGAAAACGCACGUACCUAAGUGCACAUGAAUCAUAUAUGUAGCAUGUACGCGACAUACAUACAUCAUAUACACAGGGCACACGUUGCACUCUCAGCCCCCGACGUGACUCCCACCCGCUUGCCCACGCUUAGGGCUUCACCCAGCUGCCGCCUGCCUUCCCCGGCGACCUGUAGGACCCCCACCCCGAUCCCCCCGCGGGGAAUGGACCCCUUUGGGUGGCUGUGGGCCCGCAACGAACCGCGGGGAGGGACUCAGACGGGCCGCCGAGGGGAUUCCCCUGGUCCCAGCCCGACGGGAGCCCGGUGACCCCAGCCUCACAUCCCUACCCCUCGCAGCCCCCCGGGGAAGAGGCACCCAGGGAUCCUUGCAAAAUUGAGGGGAAAGCCCCCGGUGCCAACAACCUGGCCGAGUUUGCCCCUUUGGGGAUGGGAAAUGGGGGGCAAAGCCCGGGCACAUCCGCCAGGCCGCCCCGACGCCCUUUGCCCAGCACAGCCCCCUUGCCACGCGUGUACCCCGGGGUUUGGCAGCCGGGGAGAGCUGAGGAGAUGAGGGAAAGGUUUUCUGCCCCGCUGCCCCUCCAGGGAGGGAGUAGGCUAGAGUUGGCUUUCGGGCCGAGAAAACUUCAGAAAAAAAAAAAAAAAAAA
ensembl:lncRNA